UUAUGUUGCGUAUCAAAAAUGAUAUAAAAGA
rnacentral:piRNA from 1 species